GAUGAGCAUGCGUCCCAUUAGCUAGUUGGUAAGGUAACGGCUUACCAAGGCUACGAUGGGUAGGGGUCCUGAGAGGGAGAUCCCCCACACUGGUACUGAGACACGGACCAGACUCCUACGGGAGGCAGCAGUGAGGAAUAUUGGACAAUGGGCGCAAGCCUGAUCCAGCCAUGCCGCGUGCAGGAUGACGGUCCUAUGGAUUGUAAACUGCUUUUGCACAGGAAGAAACAACGCUACGUGUAGAGUCUUGACGGUACUGUGAGAAUAAGGAUCGGCUAACUCCGUGCCAGCAGCCGCGGUAAUACGGAGGAUCCAAGCGUUAUCCGGAAUCAUUGGGUUUAAAGGGUCCGUAGGCGGUUUAGUAAGUCAGUGGUGAAAGCCCAUCGCUCAACGGUGGAACGGCCAUUGAUACUGCUAGACUUGAAUUAUUAGGAAGUAACUAGAAUAUGUAGUGUAGCGGUGAAAUGCUUAGAGAUUACAUGGAAUACCAAUUGCGAAGGCAGGUUACUACUAAUUGAUUGACGCUGAUGGACGAAAGCGUGGGUAGCGAACAGGA
rnacentral:rRNA from 1 species